rnacentral:rRNA from 1 species
UGUCUGGGAACUGCCUGAUGGAGGGGAUAACUACUGGAAACGGUAGCUAAUACCGCAUAACGUCGCAGACCAAAGAGGGGGACCUUCGGGCCUCUUGCCAUCAGAUGUGCCCAGAUGGGAUUAGCUAGUGGGUGGGGUAACGGCUCACCUAGGCGACGAUCCCUAGCUGGUCUGAGAGGAUGACCAGCCACACUGGAACUGAGACACGGUCCAGACUCCUACGGGAGGCAGCAGUGGGGAAUAUUGCACAAUGGGCGCAAGCCUGAUGCAGCCAUGCCGCGUGUAUGAAGAAGGCCUUCGGUUUGUAAAGUACUUUCAGCGGGGAGGAAGGUGUUGUGGUUAAUAACCGCAGCAAUUGACGUUACCCGCAGAAGAAGCACCGGCUAACUCCGUGCCAGCAGCCGCGGUAAUACGGAGGGCGCAAGCGUUAAUCGGGAAUUACUGGGCGUAAAGCGCACGCAGGCGGUCUGUCAAGUCGAAGUGAACUCCCCGGGCUCAACCUGGGGAACUGCUUUCGAAACUGGCAGGCUAGAGUCUUGUAGAGGGGGGGUAGAAUUCCGGGUGUAGCGGUGAAAUGCGUAAAGAUCUGGGAGGAAUACCGGUGGGCGAAGGCGGCCCCCUGGAAAAAUACUGACGCUCAAGGUGCGAAAGCGUGGAGAGCAAACAGGAUUAGAUACCCUGGUAGUCCACGCCGUAAACAUGUCGAUUUGGAGGUUGUGCCCUUGAGGCGUGGCUUCCGGAGCUAAGCGUUUAUAUCGAGCGCCCUGGGGAGUCACGGCCCAAGUUUAAAAACUCAAAUAAUUGGC